rnacentral:rRNA from 1 species
AGAUUAAAACUCAAAGGAAUUGACGGGGACCCGCACAAGCGGUGGAUGAUGUGGAUUAAUUCGAUGCAACGCGAAAAACCUUACCUACCCUUGACAUGGAUGGAAUCCUUGAGAGAUUGAGGAGUGCCCGAAAGGGAACCAUUACACAGGUGCUGCAUGGCUGUCGUCAGCUCGUGUCGUGAGAUGUUGGGUUAAGUCCCGCAACGAGCGCAACCCUUGUCAUUAGUUGCUACGAAAGAGCACUCUA